rnacentral:rRNA from 1 species
CAGCCGCCGCGGUAAUACGUAGGGUGCGAGCGUUAAUCGGAUUUACUGGGCGUAAAGCGUGCGCAGGCGGCCCGUUAAGACAGGUGUGAAAUCCCUGGGCUCAACCUAGGAAUUGCGCUUGUGACUGGCGGGCUCGAGUACGGUAGAGGGGGGUGGAAUUCCUGGUGUAGCAGUGAAAUGCGUAGAGAUCAGGAGGAACACCGAUGGCGAAGGCAGCCCCCUGGGCCUGUACUGACGCUCAUGCACGAAAGCGUGGGGAGCAAACAGGAUUAGAUACCCUGGUAGUCCACGCCCUAAACGAUGGGUACUAGCCGUUUGGUGCGCGAUAGCGCUGAGUGGCGAAGCUAACGCGUGAAGUACCCCGCCUGGGGAGUACGGCCGCAAGGUUGAAACUUAAACGAAUUGGCGGG